rnacentral:rRNA from 1 species
CCUACGGGAGGCAGCAGUGGGGAAUAUUGCACAAUGGGGGAAACCCUGAUGCAGCGACGCCGCGUGAGUGAAGAAGUAUUUCGGUAUGUAAAGCUCUAUCAGCAGGGAAGAAGCAAGACGGUACCUGACUAAGAAGCUCCGGCUAACUACGUGCCAGCCGCCGCGGUAAUACGUAGGGUGAAAGCGUUAUCCGGAUUGACUGUGUGUAACGGGAGCGUAUACGGUAUGGCAAGUAUGAAGUGAAAGCCCGGGGCUUAACCCUGGGACUGCUUUGGAAACUGUUAGACUAGAGUGCUGGAGAGGUAAGUGGAAUUCCUAGUGUAGCGGUGAAAUGCGUAGAUAUUAGGAGGAACACCAGUGGCGAAGGCGGCUUACUGGACAGUAACUGACGUUGAGGCUCGAAAGCGUGGGGAGCAAACAGGAUUAGAUACCCGAGUAGUC